rnacentral:tRNA from 1 species
GACGUUGUAGUAUAGUGGUGAGUAUUCCCGCUUGUCACCCGGGUGACCCGGGUUCGAUCCCUGGCAACGGCG